UACGUAGGGGGCUAGCGUUGUCCGGAAUCAUUGGGCGUAAAGCGCGUGUAGGCGGUCCGGUAAGUCCGCUGUGAAAGUCGGGGGCUCAACCCUCGAAUGCCGGUGGAUACUGUCGGGCUAGAGUGCGGAAGAGGCGAGUGGAAUUCCUGGUGUAGCGGUGAAAUGCGCAGAUAUCAGGAGGAACACCAAUUGCGAAGGCAGCUCACUACGGAUAUAUUGACACUGAGGCACGAAAGCGUGGGGAUCAAACAGG
rnacentral:rRNA from 1 species